UACGUAGGUGGCGAGCGUUGUCCGGAAUCACUGGGCGUAAAGGGCGCGUAGGCGGUUAAUUAAGUCAGGUGUGUAAACCGCAGGCUUAACCUGAGGAUUGCACCUGAUACUGGAUAACUUGAGUGCAGGAGAGGGCAGUGGAAUUCCUAGUGUAGCGGUGAAAUGCGUAGAUAUUAGGAGGAACACCAGUGGCGAAGGCGGCUGCCUGGACUGCAACUGACGCUGAGGCGCGAAAGCGUGGGGAGCAAACAGGAUUAGAUACC
rnacentral:rRNA from 1 species